rnacentral:rRNA from 1 species
GGUGAACGCUCGCUACAGGCUUAACACAUGCAAGUCGCGGGGCAGCAUGGGGGUUGCUUGCAAUCCCCGAUGGCGACCGGCGCACGGGUGAGUAACGCGUAUCCAACCUGCCCUUCACCACGGGAUAACCCGGCGAAAGUCGGACUAAUACCGUAUGUUGUCCAUUGACGGCAUCCGAUUUGGACGAAAGGUUUGGCGGUGAAGGAUGGGGAUGCGUCCGAUUAGCUGGACGGCGGGGUGACGGCCCACCGUGGCGACGAUCGGUAGGGGUUCUGAGAGGAAGGUCCCCCACACUGGAACUGAGACACGGUCCAGACUCCUACGGGAGGCAGCAGUGAGGAAUAUUGGUCAAUGGGCGUAAGCCUGAACCAGCCAAGUAGCGUGCAGGAUGACGGCCCUAUGGGUUGUAAACUGCUUUUAUGCGGGGAUAAAGUGGCCCACGUGUGGGUUUUUGCAGGUACCGCAUGAAUAAGGACCGGCUAAUUCCGUG